ACCCGUUUGGCCCAGUUGGUUGGGGCAGCUCGCUGAUAACGAGAAGGUCGGUGGUUCAAUUCCAUCAACGGGUA
rnacentral:tRNA from 1 species